rnacentral:rRNA from 1 species
UCUUCGGCAAUGGACGCAAGUCUGACCGAGCAACGCCGCGUGAGUGAAGAAGGUUUUCGGAUCGUAAAACUCUGUUGUUAGAGAAGAACAAGGAUGAGAGUGGAAAGUUCAUCCCUUGACGGUAUCUAACCAGAAAGCCACGGCUAACUACGUGCCAGCAGCCGCGGUAAUACGUAGGUGGCAAGCGUUGUCCGGAUUUAUUGGGCGUAAAGCGAGCGCAGGCGGUCUUUUAAGUCUGAUGUGAAAGCCCCCGGCUUAACCGGGGAGGGUCAUUGGAAACUGGGAGACUUGAGUGCAGAAGAGGAAAGCGGAAUUCCAUGUGUAGCGGUGAAAUGCGUAGAUAUAUGGAGGAACACCAGUGGCGAAGGCGGCUUUCUGGUCUGUAACUGACGCUGAGGCUCGAAAA